rnacentral:tRNA from 1 species
GGGGCUGUAGCUCAGUGGUAGAGCAUCUGCCUUUUAAGCAGAGGGUCGCUGGUUCGAUCCCAGCCAGCCUCACUA